rnacentral:rRNA from 1 species
ACGGGGAGCAGCAGGCGCGAAACCUUUACACUGCACGACAGUGCGAUAGGGGGAUCCCAAGUGCACAGGCAUAGCGCCUGUGCUUUUCGGUACCCUAAGGCGGCACCAGAAUAAGGGCUGGGCAAGACCGGUGCCAGCCGCCGCGGUAAUACCGGCAGCCCAAGUGAUGGCCGAUCUUAUUGGGCCUAAGGCGUCCGUAGCCGGCCGGACAAGUCCGUUGGGAAAUCCGCACGCUUAACGUGCGGGCGUCCAGCGGAAACUGUCCGGCUUGGGACCGGAAGACCCGUGGGGUACGUCCGGGGUAGGAGUGAAAUCCCGUAAUCCCGGACGGACCACCUGUGGCGAAAGCGUCUCAGGAGAACGGAUCCGACAGUGAGGGACGAAAGCUAGGGUCUCGAACCUGAUUAGAUACCCGGGUAGUCCAAGCCGUAAACGAUGUCUGCUAGGUGUGACACAGGCUACGAGUCUGUGCUGUGCCGUAGGGAAGCCGUGAAGUGGGCCGCCCGGGAAGUACGUCUGCAAGGAUGAAACUUAAAGGAAUUGGCGGGGGAGCAC